UAAAUCAAGAAACAUGUUUUAUAUUGAAGAGAAUCACAUGGAAAGCAUAAGUAUCACACAAUAACAUCAAAUCUCAUCAAAAUAGAGAUUAACUAUCCAUUUUCAUGGAUAAAUUUUAAAAUAGAGAUGAAGAAUGAGAAGAACCAAAAUUGUCGCGAUGUCUCGCCGCCGAAUCCGACCUCUAGAGCUUCAUCUCUAGCCUCCUAAGAUUCUCGCCUUAUUUUAUAAGUGCUUUUAUGAGUUUCUAAAUCAUGAGUACCAUUUCAAAUCCAGUUUUGUGAAGAAAAUCUGAUGCGUGACUUAAAUUGAAUAUUCUGCAACUUUCUGGGCUUAAGCUUGAUCCCUUCUAGCUUAAGCCAAAAUGUUUCUUCAAGGCUAAGUAGUUUUUGGCUUAAGAACAGACAAAUCUGACUUAAGACAGAUUGGA
rnacentral:lncRNA from 1 species